rnacentral:tRNA from 1 species
GUUUUAAUAAUUUAAAUAAAAAUACUGGUCUUGUAAACCAGAAAUGAAAAACUUCUUAAAACU